rnacentral:rRNA from 1 species
UACGGGGGGGGCAAGCGUUGUUCGGAAUUACUGGGCGUAAAGGGCUCGUAGGUGGCCAACUAAGUCAGACGUGAAAUCCCUCGGCUUAACCGGGGAACUGCGUCUGAUACUGGAUGGCUAGAGUUUGGGAGAGGGAUGCGGAAUUCCAGGUGUAGCGGUGAAAUGCGCAGAUAUCAGGAGGAACACCGAUGGCGAAGGCAGGUCUCUGGGCCAUAACUGACGCUGAGAAGCGAAAGCAUGGGGAGCGAACAGG